UUAAGUUAAUAAGGGCGCACGGUGGAUGCCUUGGCACUAGAAGCCGAUGAAGGACGUGACUAACGACGAAAUGCUUUGGGGAGUUGUAAGUAAACAUUGAUCCAGAGAUAUCCGAAUGGGGGAACCCGGCAUGUGAUGCAUGUCACUCAUUACUGUUAAGGUAAUGAAGAGGAAGACGCAGUGAACUGAAACAUCUAAGUAGCUGCAGGAAGAGAAAGCAAACUUAAACCCUAGCAGUAUCCUGAGUACGGCGAGACACGAGAAAUCUCGUCGGAAUCUGGGAGGACCAUCUCCCAACCCUAAAUACUCUCUAGUGACCGAUAGUGAACCAGUACCGUGAGGGAAAGGUGAAAAGCACCCCGGGAGGGGAGUGAAAUAGAACCUGAAACCGUGUGCCUACAACAAGUUCGAGCCCGUUAAUGGGUGAGAGCGUGCCUUUUGUAGAAUGAACCGGCGAGUUACGAUAUGAUGCGAGGUUAAGUUGAAGAGACGGAGCCGUAGGGAAACCGAGUCUUAAUAGGGCGGCUUAAUAGCUUUAGGGCUAGCGUCGAUGUUAAGUCUCUUGGAGGUAGAGCACUGUUUGAUUGAGGGGUCCAUCCCGGAUUACCAAUAUCAGAUAAACUCCGAAUGCCAAUGAGAUAUAAUCGGCAGUCAGACUGCGAGUGCUAAGAUCCGUAGUCGAAAGGGAAACAGCCCAGACCACCAGCUAAGGUCCCAAAAUAUAUGUUAAGUGGAAAAGGAUGUGGGGUUGCACAGACAACUAGGAUGUUAGCUUAGAAGCAGCUAUUCAUUCAAAGAGUGCGUAAUAGCUCACUAGUCGAGUGACCCUGCGCCGAAAAUGUACCGGGGCUAAAACAUAUUACCGAAGCUGUGGAUACCUUUUAGGUAUGGUAGGAGAGCGUUCUAUGUGUGAAGAAGGUGUACCGUGAGGAGCGCUGGAACGCAUAGAAGUGAGAAUGCCGGUAUGAGUAGCGAAAGACAGGUGAGAAUCCUGUCCACCGUAAGACUAAGGUUUCCAGGGGAAGGCUCGUCCGCCCUGGGUUAGUCGGGACCUAAGGAGAGACCGAAAGGUGUAUCCGAUGGCCAACAGGUUGAUAUUCCUGUACUAGAGUAUAUAGUGAAGGAGGGACGCAGUAGGCUAACUAAAGCGUGCGAUUGGAAGAGCACGUCUAAGCAGUGAGGUGUGAUAUGAGUCAAAUGCUUAUAUCUAUAACAUUGAGCUGUGAUGGGGAGCGAAGUUAAGUAGCGAAGUUAGUGAUGUCACACUGCCAAGAAAAGCUUCUAGCGUUAAUUAUACUCUACCCGUACCGCAAACCGACACAGGUAGUCGAGGCGAGUAGCCUCAGGUGAGCGAGAGAACUCUCGUUAAGGAACUCGGCAAAAUGGCCCCGUAACUUCGGGAGAAGGGGCGCUGGCUUAGAGUCAGCCGCAGUGAAUAGGCCCAAGCAACUGUUUAUCAAAAACACAGCUCUCUGCUAAAUCGUAAGAUGAUGUAUAGGGGGUGACGCCUGCCCGGUGCUGGAAGGUUAAGAGGAGCGCUUAGCGUUAGCGAAGGUGUGAAUUGAAGCCCCAGUAAACGGCGGCCGUAACUAUAACGGUCCUAAGGUAGCGAAAUUCCUUGUCGGGUAAGUUCCGACCCGCACGAAAGGCGUAAUGAUUUGGGCACUGUCUCAACGAGAGACUCGGUGAAAUUUUAGUACCUGUGAAGAUGCAGGUUACCCGCGACAGGACGGAAAGACCCCAUGGAGCUUUACUGCAGUUUGAUAUUGAGUAUCUGUACCACAUGUACAGGAUAGGUAGGAGCCUACGAAAUCGGGACGCUAGUUUCGGUGGAGGCGUUGUUGGGAUACUACCCUUGUGUUAUGGCUACUCUAACCUAGAUAGGUAAUCCCUAUCGGAGACAGUGUCUGACGGGCAGUUUGACUGGGGCGGUCGCCUCCUAAAAGGUAACGGAGGCGCCCAAAGGUUCCCUCAGAAUGGUUGGAAAUCAUUCGCAGAGUGUAAAGGUAUAAGGGAGCUUGACUGCGAGAGCUACAACUCGAGCAGGGACGAAAGUCGGGCUUAGUGAUCCGGUGGUUCCGCAUGGAAGGGCCAUCGCUCAACGGAUAAAAGCUACCCUGGGGAUAACAGGCUUAUCUCCCCCAAGAGUUCACAUCGACGGGGAGGUUUGGCACCUCGAUGUCGGCUCGUCGCAUCCUGGGGCUGUAGUCGGUCCCAAGGGUUGGGCUGUUCGCCCAUUAAAGCGGCACGCGAGCUGGGUUCAGAACGUCGUGAGACAGUUCGGUCCCUAUCCGUCGCGGGCGUAGGAAAUUUGAGAGGAUCUGCUCCUAGUACGAGAGGACCAGAGUGGACUUACCGCUGGUGUACCAGUUGU
rnacentral:rRNA from 1 species